rnacentral:rRNA from 1 species
GAGCCAACGUGCCCUUUUUAGACAUCGGGGAGAGAGAGCAAGGGGUAAGCUCGACGUCGGUUUAGGGAUCGGAGAGAGGGAGAACAAGGGGAGACAGAGCGGGUUACGGUUUUCGUACUCUCGAUCCAGCUGCCGCUGCCGCUCAGACCCGACGCCUCCCUCGCCGUCGUCCUUCCUCUGCAGGCAGCAGUUGAAACCCCGAGGUAGACGUAGAGUCCUACUGCACGAAGGAUUAAACUUUUCUCCCGUUUACCUUCCUAGGUGUUCCUUUCCGAAGACAAAACCCUAUCCUAGUAUUGUAAACUACCUUAUAAUCAGAACGGCUCUAUCUCGAGACAUCAUAAAGAAGACAAAACAAGACUACAUCAACUACAACCGUACCAACAGUAAACAUGACGUAGACAGUUCACUUGAAUUAACUUUUCUAGUCCCUAAAACGUCACGCUAUUUCAAGUCUGUAACAAGUAGUGUCGUAUCAAGAAACUGAUAUUUGUACCUAUCUUUAAGUUUACCUAUGUUUGUACCUAUGUAACAAUGUUUGCGAUUGACUUGUAACUAUGUUUGUCCGAUUUGACUGUCUCAUGAUUGACUUUCGACUGUCUUAUCAUCAGUUGUCCGAUUUGACUUUGCUCUUACGUACCUAUCUAUCUCACUUAACGUCCACGAAUAAGAUGAGCAGCAGCAGGCUUCUCACCUGUUACCCCAAGAAGGGACAACUCGCCGUCUGCGUCUCCGUCUGUGUUGGGAAGGAGCGAGAGACCGACGCGCGAGACGAAGACGUCGGGCCGCCUCCUGCCGCGCACCUGGUCCUGCGUCAAUACUGCCGCAGCAGCUCGAUGACGAACCGACGCGCAUCUAGGAGUAGCCGGACGCGCCACUCGUUCCUACGGAGUAUGCGGCCUCGACCAUCGGGCUUCUGCUGGACCAGCCCGCCGUCCAUAAGCAGCGGUGGUCGUAGGGAGGCGAUGCGCGCGGCAGAGCGGAUGUGGAGGAGUUUGAGACGGAGGAGGACACGUAGGAAGUUGAGUACGGGGGCUGUUUGUCGUCGCCCGAGGCGACGGCAACCGAGCUACAGUCUCAAGCGCCACCUCGCCGAGCUCAUCGAACCAGCUACACGAGCCGGCGGCUGCUGGGACACCCCUGACCACCUGUAGGAGGCAUGUCGGCUC